GAACUUUUAUUAUCUUUGCACUGAUUUUUCUCAAAAUUUCAGCACAUGAAUUUUGGUGUACUUUAUACUCACAAACAAACAGGGCACUUUGGGUCUUUGCUCUGAUUUCCUACAGGUAACAUUCUUUGAACAUCUAAUGCAGAAAGGAUUUGAUUGUUACAUUGUAUGUUAUCUUCUCCUGGUCCUGUUACUCUGGCCUGUAUAGGCAUCCAGUAGAAUCCAUGAAGAGAGUACAGACAGCUGACUGGAUGAAGACGACAGUGGGGGGGAAAAAAAACUCCCAUUGUUUAGAUUUCUGUCAGAGGAUAUAAGAAUAUUUAAUUUCUUUUUAUCUCUGGGGCUUUCAUUAUCAUUUAAAUUUCAUUUUACAUUAAUUGAUCAGGGAUUAGUAAAGCCAUUAUGCAGAAAUUAGAAUAAGACAAGCCAGAUGGAAUGAAUAAUUCAUAAAGUCCAAUUACGUUUUAUUUCUGGUGUACUUUCAAACUUGCCUCUGACUUCUGUGCUAUUUUGAUGUGACAAUAUUCACUGGAAAUCAAGAGUGCCAUUUUAAUUUAUUGUAUCCCUCUGGAGUGGAGGCAUUUGUAUGCAAUGGGAGUAUGUUAACGCAUUUCUCCUCAGAACACCACUUUUAGGGUUCUUGGAAAGACAGAUCUAGAAAAUAUGGCUCAUUUUCUCUAUAGAAGUUUAGGGGUACUACAAGGAGCCUCACCAGUCCACUUGAUUUGGGCGAACUACUCCCAACUAGAGAGGCUAAGGUCUUGGGACCGCGAAAUUUUCACCUCCUAGAAGAGAUAUAGCCCCUUUUAAAAUGUUUGUCCCCAUCCCCCGCCACCAAAGAACCGUUAAAAUACGAAUUUGGCCUGGAGUUGGACUGGAAGCCGCAGGAGCUGGUGCAGCUGCAGGCCGCGACCACGAGGUGGCAGGCGUUGCCUUCGAUGCACGGGGCUCGGGCUCCGGGAGCGCCGAGGCUUCGGAGCUACCCCGCAG
rnacentral:lncRNA from 1 species